AUAAGGCCCUAUCGAAGCUUUGUUUCGCUGUCUUUUUGCAGUAACAUGGUCAAAAUGAGGCCUAAAAUAAAACUUCUGCAAUGGUCACUGAUUGGCCUUGUGGCAUGGCUUUUUUAGUAUUACCCAAGCAGCAUACAUUU